CCUAGAGGGCUUAUCAAUUAACACCGACUACGGAGUACCAAGAUAAGCAAACAAAAGGCUACACGUCCACUCAUAGCGUCUGAAAAGACCAUGUGAAAGUUCAAUGAACUUUUAUAUGUCCAAGGAUUUAAUGACUCUUGGCAUGAAAUACAGUGAUAAUAGUUAGUAGUAAUGAAACAACCUUGGGGAAGUUUGGAGCGAAAUCUAAAGUUGCAGUGAUACUUAAUGAGGGGGCUACUACUA
rnacentral:sRNA from 12 species